CUUCUUUUAAGUUAGCCAAAACCUUAAAAAAAAGUUCUGCUUGUUUCUUUUGUGUUAAAGAACAGUGGUCUGCUAGGGGUUUUUUUAACCCCCUCCCUCCUUGCGCCGCCGUUCGAGCCUAGUGCCCCAUGCCCCGAUUUCGCCGGAGAAGACACCGGCUCGACAACUCCGGCGACCAGGUAAGUCUUUUCCUUUCUUUAUUUUAAAUGAAAAAUAAAAUAAAAUAAAAAACUAAAAGAGAAAAAAAGAAAACAAAACGAAACUAGGAAUCAAAAAAACUCCAAAAAAAACCACCUUUUGUAUUCGGAAAUCAAUAAGUAAAUCUCUAUUUUCUCUCUGUUUUUCGUAUCUAAACUAUAAUCCCCCUCCCUUUUUCAGAUUUUUAAACGGCAUUUAUAGCCGAAAGAAAACAAUCGGGAUAAAAUCUAUUUCCCUCCCCAUCCUUGCUGUGUUUUCGCUAUUAUUCUGUCUUUUGCUGUGCUUGUAUGCUUCUUUUUCGCAGGUUUGGUGGCUUGUUGAGGUGUACGUACGUACGUGGAGGCGCAACUCGCGCGGAGAGGGACCUUAGCCCCGAGUCAUACGGUGAUUGGAAUGCUGGAAGCGGCAGCCAAGGGUUUUUCUAUUUAGGGUUUCAGUAGUUAGGGUAUUUGGAAUUUUGGGCUUAAGCUUUAAUUUUGUUGGGCCUAUAUUGGUUUGGGCCUGGGCAUAUGUGGGCUUGUACAGUUAUUAUUAUAAAAUAUAUAAUUAGGUGAUAGUAGAGGGGACGACGCAUCACAGCCGACCCUUUACUUUUCUUUAGGUUUUAUUUUAUGUUCUUUUAGGUUAAGAUUUUAUUUUUAUUAUUAUAGAUAUAGAUUAUGUAGCCUCAACCACCUUGUUUUAGUUAAUAGGUUUGUUUAUUAUUAUAGUAUAUACUUACGUGGGAAAGGGGAGAGGCGGACAGCCGCCUUAAAACGUUUAUUUUUAUUUUAUUUUCUUUCAAGAAAAUUUCUCCCUUUCAUUCUUUAAUUUUAUAAAUCAAUUUUUUAUUUGCUUUUCGAAAUCGUGAGAAUCGAAACUGUACAUAAUUUUUUUUAAAAAGGGUAUAUCUUAUUUCUCCGGUUAAAAAAUAGACAUUGUCGUCUCACAAAAUUAUAUUGACAUCAAGUAAAAAAGAACUAGUUGAUUUAGUGUUGAUAGACGUACAGUUGGAAGUACCGAAUCAAUCACUUGUCAUAUUUUGUCUAUCGAAUAACACAUUGGUGUGUCCAGUUAAGUAAUUGAUUGGAUCGGUCAAGGGAAAUAACAAUUGAAUCUAAACGAUCUCGCAGUUGAGGAUGUUGGUUUGAGUUGGGCCCUUUCAGUUCCCAAGGCUACUAGAGAACUAAAUCAUGGACGCAUGUUUCGUGGUUAUUCAUCCAAUAAGGGUUAGUUGUUGAGUGUUCUCGUAAUUAAUUUAUACACAGAAGGGUUGGUGGUCUGAGGUAUCCUCCAUCACUAUAACUGACUUAUCAAUUAAAAGAGAAGAUUUGUUAUCAAUGGUCGUUUUAAAACCGGAGCCAAAAUUGAGCCUGGAGUUAGAAUUUAAUCACAUUGGUUUAUUCAAUUUAAUUUUGCUUCUUUUUUUAUUUUUACCGUUAUUUCGGUAUCAAUUAUCUUUAUUAUUUUUAAUUUUACCAUAUUUAAAUUCUUCCUUUUAUUUUUACACAAAUCGUC
rnacentral:lncRNA from 1 species